CCUCGCUCCAAAUAUAGUUGCUGGUGAGGCGAGAAGUGAGAACUUUGCAAGAGAAAAGAAAUUAAAAUUUUCCAAAAAUGAAUAAAGGUUCAUCAUCAAUGGCGAAAGAUCAGUCAAUCUCAGUUUCAGAAGCAGUACACAAGAUUCAACUCCAUCUCCUUGACGGAAUACGAGACGAGAAACAACUAAUCUCCUCUGGUUCCUUAAUUUCUCGAAGCGACUAUGAGGAUGUCGUAACCGAGAGGUCGAUUUCCAACACUUGCGGUUACCCUCUCUGCCAAAACCCUUUACCUUCCGAACCCCGUCGAAGAGGCCGUUAUCGAAUCUCUUUGAAAGAGCACCGAGUUUACGAUUUACAAGAAACCAGCCGCUUUUGCUCCGCCGAUUGCCUGAUUAAUAGCCGAGCUUUCGCUGGGAGUUUACAAGAAGAGAGGUGUUCCGUUUUGAAUCAUGCGAAACUUAAUGCGAUUUUGAGUUUGUUUGAUGACGUGGAUUUGAACGAUGAGGAUUUGGGGAAGAAUGGGGAUUUAGGGUUUUCGAAUUUGAAGAUUAAAGAAAAUGAGGAAAUAAAAGCUGGGGAAGUUUCUUCGGUGGGUCCUUCCAAUGCCAUUGAAGGCUAUGUUCCACAAAGAGAAUUGGUUUCUAAGCCUUCAUCUUCUAAGAACAGCAAAAAUGGAGUGUUUGAUUCUAGCAGUUCCAAGCUGGGUGAUAUCAAAGGAGAUUAUUUUGUCAAUAAUGAGAUAGAUUUUACUAGUGCCGUAAUUAUGAACAAUGAAUAUUUAGAUUUUACUAGUGCCGUAAUUAUGAACAAUGAAUAUACCACUUCUAAGAAUCCCGGUAGUCUUAGACAGAGUCAAAGAACGAAGCCGAGUAGUAUGAAAGAUGUGAUUAAUGAGAUGGACUUUACUAGUGAAAUAAUCAUGAAUGAUGAAUAUACUGUUUCCAAGACACCCCCGGGGUCAAGACAGGGUUCUUCUGGUUCGAAAUUGAAAAAAACAGAAGGGCAAGGAGUUUGUAAAGACUUCGAAGAAAAAUGUAUGAGAUCAGAAUCCUCCUCUGCUUUGACGAAAGAGGAUUCUGGCAUUGUAGAAAUGCCUUCAACUAAAUGUGUCGAUCAGAGUGGUUUGGAUACAAUUAAUGCUGAAGCAGAGAAGGAAACCCAUUCUGACAAGGCCGUGGCAUCAAGUGGGGUUGUGCUUAAAUCCUCUCUUAAGUCUGCUGGAGCAAAGAAACUUAAUCGCUCAGUUACUUGGGCUGAUAAAAAAAAUGUUGAUGGUGCUCGGAAAGGGAGUCUUUGUGAAGUUAAAGAAAUGGAUGCACAGAAAGGAGAUUCUGAAAAUCUUGGCAGAGCAGAAGAUGGUGAUGAUGAUGAUAAUAUGUUACGAUUUGCAUCCGCAGAAGCUUGUGCUAUGGCUUUGAGCGAGGCAGCAGCAGCUGUGGCAUCUGGAGAUUCUGAUGUCAAUGAUGCUGUUUCUGAAGCUGGGCUGAUCAUAUUGGCACAUCCACUUGAGGCGGACAAGGAGGAGAAAGUGGAGAAUAUUGAUACACUUGAAGCAGAACCUGAACCAGAAGAAGGCCCUGUAAAGUGGCCAACAAAACCUGGGAUUCCACGCUCUGAUUUUUUUGACCCAGAGGACUCAUGGUUUGAUGCUCCCCCUGAGGGUUUCAGUUUAACUCUGUCAACUUUUGCAACAAUGUGGAAUGCGCUUUUUGAAUGGAUAACAUCAUCUUCUUUGGCUUAUAUAUAUGGGAGAGAUGAAACUUUCCAUGAAGAGUACCUCUCAGUUAAUGGGAGGGAGUAUCCGCAGAAGAUUGUCUUACGAGAUGGUCGUUCUUCUGAAAUUAAAGAAACUCUUGCUGGUUGUAUUUCUCGUGCUUUUCCUGCUAUUGUUACUGCUCUCAGACUGCCUAUACCGAUAUCUACUUUGGAGCAGGGAAUGGGCCGCCUGCUAGAUACAAUGUCUUUUGUGGAAGCACUUCCAGCAUUCAGAAUGAAACAGUGGCAAGUAAUUGUUCUUCUAUUAAUUGACGCCCUUUCAGUUUGUAGAAUACCAGCCCUCACUCCACACAUGACUAAUGGGAGGAUGCUUCUUCACAAGGUGCUGGAUGGUGCCCAGAUAAGUAUGGAAGAAUAUGAGGUUAUGAAGGAUCUAAUAAUACCACUUGGCCGAGCACCUCACUUCUCUGCACAGAGUGGAGCUUGACGUAGGGUCAAAGUCAUUCCUCCUCAAUUCUUGCUGAUGGUAUUUUGGAUAACAGACAUAGUCAUUAUUUUCUUUUCCUGGUAGUUAUCUGAAAUUAUUUCAGCAAACACCCAAUUUUUGGGCACAGGAAUUUAUAUUCUCAAAUGAUACUGAAGCGGUGGUGUGAUUUGUAGUCAUUGUGGAAAUUCUGUUUCCUUAUGAUUAGUAUCUACUGAGAAGUUGCAAAAUCUGAUGAUCGCCAAUGGAAUCAUGUCAAAGGUGCACAUGUUUUGCUUGGAGUGAAGGAACUAUAUGUGCUAGCAAAUUCGGCUGCGUUGUUGAUUGUUCAAAUUUAAUCGAAUCUCGAUGCGUGUAAAGUGAAAGGUAUUUCUUGUUCAAAAACAAAAACUGAAUUGCAAACGCAGAUACAGUUAAAACCGCAGUUUAUAUAUGUUUGGUGAGGAUGUUGCGUAUAGUUUAGAUGUAUCAAAUUACCCAUGGUUUUUGGAGAUAAAUGGACGGCCUUGGGUGAUAUUAUGACUUUACUUUUGCUGAAAUAAACUAUUUUGGACUUAAAUGUUUGAAGUAUUUUUUCAUAUUUUCAGAAACAUCAAUGUCAAAUAAUUGUAAUUUGAGAAUAAGGUUUGAAAUAUCAUUUAUUAUUUUCUUA